rnacentral:rRNA from 1 species
GACGAACGCUGGCGGCGUGCUUAACACAUGCAAGUCGAACGGAAAGGCCCUGCUUUUGUGGGGUGCUCGAGUGGCGAACGGGUGAGUAACACGUGAGUAACCUGCCCUUGACUUUGGGAUAACUUCAGGAAACUGGGGCUAAUACCGGAUAGGAGCUCCUGCAGCAUGGUGGGGGUUGGAAAGUUUCGGCGGUUGGGGAUGGACUCGCGGCUUAUCAGCUUGUUGGUGGGGUAGUGGCUUACCAAGGCUUUGACGGGUAGCCGGCCUGAGAGGGUGACCGGCCACAUUGGGACUGAGAUACGGCCCAGACUCCUACGGGAGGCAGCAGUGGGGAAUAGUGCACAAUGGGCGGAAGCCUGAUGCAGCAACGCCGCGUGCGGGAUGACGGCCUUCGGGUUGUAAACCGCUUUCGCCUGUGACGAAGCGUGAGUGACGGUAAUGGGUAAAGAAGCACCGGCUAACUACGUG